UGAACGCUGACAGAAUGCUUAACACAUGCAAGUCAACUUGAAUUUGGGUUUUUAACUUAGGUUUGGGUGGCGGACGGGUGAGUAACGCGUAAAGAACUUGCCUCACAGCUAGGGACAACAUUUGGAAACGAAUGCUAAUACCUAAUAUUAUGAUAAUAGGGCAUCCUAUAAUUAUGAAAGCUAUAAGCGCUGUGAGAGAGCUUUGCGUCCCAUUAGCUAGUUGGAGAGGUAACGGCUCACCAAGGCGAUGAUGGGUAGCCGGCCUGAGAGGGUGAUCGGCCACAAGGGGACUGAGACACGGCCCUUACUCCUACGGGAGGCAGCAGUGGGGAAUAUUGGACAAUGGACCAAGAGUCUGAUCCAGCAAUUCUGUGUGCACGAUGAAGUUUUUCGGAAUGUAAAGUGCUUUCAGUUGGGAAGAAAGAAAUGACGGUACCAACAGAAGAAGUGACGGCUAAAUACGUG
rnacentral:rRNA from 1 species